GGGGCCGGCCCCAGUAAUGAGACUUGAACAAGCACUUCACAAAAGGGGAUAUCCGAAUGGCCAAUAAAAUAUGAAAAUAUAUUCAACCACAUUUGUAAUCAUAAAAAUACAAAUUCAA